rnacentral:rRNA from 1 species
AUGAAGCUGGAAUCGCUAGUAAUCGCGGAUCAGAAUGCCGCGGUGAAUACGUUCCCGGGUCUUGUACACACCGCCCGUCACACCAUGGGAGUCGGAAAUGCCCGAAGUCAGUGACCCAACCGUAAGGAGGGAGCUGCCGAAGGUGGAGCCGGUAACUGGGGUGAAGUCGUAACAAGGUACC